ACACAUGCAAGUCGAACGGCAGCACGGGAGCAAUCCUGGUGGCGAGUGGCGAACGGGUGAGUAAUACAUCGGAACGUGCCCAAUCGUGGGGGAUAACGCAGCGAAAGCUGUGCUAAUACCGCAUGAGAUCUACGGAUGAAAGCAGGGGACCGCAAGGCCUUGCGCGAAUGGAGCGGCCGAUGGCAGAUUAGGUAGUUGGUGAGGUAAAGGCUCACCAAGCCUGCGAUCUGUAGCUGGUCUGAGAGGACGACCAGCCACACUGGGACUGAGACACGGCCCAGACUCCUACGGGAGGCAGCAGUGGGGAAUUUUGGACAAUGGGCGCAAGCCUGAUCCAGCCAUGCCGCGUGCAGGAUGAAGGCCUUCGGGUUGUAAACUGCUUUUGUACGGAACGAAAAGGCUUUCUCUAAUAAAGAGGGCUCAUGACGGUACCGUAAGAAUAAGCACCGGCUAACUACGUGCCAGCAGCCGCGGUAAUACGUAGGGUGCAAGCGUUAAUCGGAAUUACUGGGCGUAAAGCGUGCGCAGGCGGUGAUGUAAGACAGUUGUGAAAUCCCCGGGCUCAACCUGGGAACUGCAUCUGUGACUGCAUCGCUGGAGUGCGGCAGAGGGGGAUGGAAUUCCGCGUGUAGCAGUGAAAUGCGUAGAUAUGCGGAGGAACACCGAUGGCGAAGGCAAUCCCCUGGGCCUGCACUGACGCUCAUGCACGAAAGCGUGGGGAGCAAACAGGAUUAGAUACCCUGGUAGUCCACGCCCUAAACGAUGUCAACUGGUUGUUGGGUCUUCACUGACUCAGUAACGAAGCUAACGCGUGAAGUUGACCGCCUGGGGAGUACGG
rnacentral:rRNA from 1 species